rnacentral:rRNA from 1 species
UACGUAGGGUGCGAGCGUUAAUCGGAAUUACUGGGCGUAAAGCGUGCGCAGGCGGUUUUGUAAGCCAGGUGUGAAAUCCCCGGGCUCAACCUGGGAAUGGCAUUUGGGACUGCAAGGCUGGAGUGUGGCAGAGGAGACUGGAAUUCCUGGUGUAGCAGUGAAAUGCGUAGAUAUCAGGAAGAACACCCGUGGCGAAGGCGGCUCUCUGGACACAUAUUGACGCUGAGGUGCGAAAGCGUGGGGAGCAAACAGG